CUUUUUGAUUGAAGACAUACUGCACUUUCAUAUUUAUAAAAGGUAAUAUUGUUGUAAGCGCAGAAAAUAGAGAAACUGGUUUGCUUAGUAGCAAAAUGUUAUCGAAAAGUUUUUCAUCAAAAGUUUGUAACUAAAUAAGUUAUAGAAAGGAAAGAUAUAAAUUUUGACAGAAUAGUCAUAAUGUUUGAUUAUAAUAAAUGCAAUGUGGAAUGUCAAUAAAUCUGUACAUUUGCAUAGCAAGAUUUUAGACUAUGAUAUGAAGUCAUUAUUUUUUAAGGAAUACGAGGUUUCAGAUGACAAUACAAACUUGGACAAAAAUAUUUUGGGGUUAUGAUUGAAAAAGUUUCCCAGUCACUGUUCUAGACGAUGAAAUAAAUAUUUCAUAAUGGAUAAUAAAUAUAUUAACAAC